UUUCCGCUUCUUUCCUCCCUGAGCGGAAGCCUUAGACGAUGAGGCUAUUUGCCCCGAUUUAAUCCCCUUAAUCGGGGCUUUUUUU
rnacentral:ncRNA from 1 species